rnacentral:lncRNA from 1 species
AGUGAUUUAACUUUACCUACAUGGCGACCUUCUCUGGAUAUGUAUCUGUUUCCUUCUCUUUCCCACAGGAAUUCUGCCAGGAGCAUUAUCUGAGAGCUUAUAAAAUAUUUCAUCUGUCAUGUUGGCGAACAAAGAAGGGUCUCUGGCUGUCUCCUGUACCCCACUGGAACAUUUCUCAGUCUGGUCAUCUCUUGCCUGUACUUUGGCCUUGCAGUCUUUUAGUGGAGAAAGCCUCCUGACUCAUAAGUCUUGUAAAGCAAGAGACCACAGCACUGAAGAUUACCUUUCAGAAAAGAGUGAAGGGAAGCUACAGAGAGUUGUGGCAAGCAACUCCUCAAGCAAACAACGUUGCUCUUUCCUGUCACCAGGCUUCGUGGAUAAUUAGAAGGUAUCCAUGAAUGUUGGCAUUUCCACAGCAGCUGUUGACUCAUUCUCAUGCACAACAGGGAAAAAUGCCUUAAUUUCUAAAGAAACAAAUCUUCACUACAAUCCAAUCAAAUGGAUAUGGAUUGUGACAGUCUACCAUGAAAUGACAAACAUACUUAUGAAAACUUCAGUCAUAUGGAUCCAAAUGAUCCCUGAAAACAGAGCCAGGUUCCAGACAUGCAGGCUUAAUGUACCUAAAAUGAUUGCAAUAUAGCAAGACAGAAUAAAGAUAAAAUAGAAUUUCUGAGGGUUUUCA